rnacentral:rRNA from 1 species
UACGAAGGGUGCAAGCGUUACUCGGAAUUACUGGGCGUAAAGCGUGCGUAGGUGGUUUGUUAAGUCUGUUGUGAAAGCCCCGGGCUCAACCUGGGAAUGGCAAUGGAUACUGGCAAGCUAGAGUGCGGUAGAGGGUAGUGGAAUUCCCGGUGUAGCGGUGAAAUGCGUAGAGAUCGGGAGGAACACCAGGUGGCGAAGGCGGACU